rnacentral:rRNA from 1 species
GACGAACGCUGGCGGCGUGCUUAACACAUGCAAGUCGAACGGAGUGGCGAACGGGUGAGUAACCCGGGGGUUAUCUGCCUUGCAAUUCGGGAUAAGCUUGGGAAACUGGGUUGAAUACCGGAUAGUGCAAGAUGAGCUCGCCGCCGAUUGGCUUGUUGUUGGGGUAAUGGCCUACCAAGUCGUCGACGGGGAGCCGGCCUGAGAGGGUGUACGGCCACAUUGGGACUGGGAUACGGCCCAGACUCCUACGGGAGGCAGCAGUGGGGAAUAUUGCACUAUGGGCGGAAGCCUGAUGCAGCGACGCCGCGUGGGGGAUGAAGGCCUUCGGGUUGUAAACUCCUUUCGACAGGGACGCGGUACCUGUAUAAGAAGCACCGGCUAACUACGUGCCAGCAGCCGCGGUAAUUC